rnacentral:snRNA from 1 species
GCUUGCAUUGGCAGUGCACGUACUAAAGUCACAAUGAAACAGAGAUUAGCAUGGCCCCUUCCCAAGAAUGAGACAUAAAUANGUGAAGCACUUGAUAUUGUG